UAGGGCUUUCCAGGACUUCCAGGACUCACGGGUUCCAAAGGUGUAAGGGGAAUAAGUGGAUUGCCAGGAUUUUCUGGUUCUCCUGGACUUCCAGGCACCCCAGGCAAUACCGGGCCUUACGGACUUGUUGGUGUACCAGGAUGCAGUGGUUCUAAGGGUGAGCAGGGGUUUCCAGGACUCCCAGGGACACCGGGCUACCCAGGGAUCCCGGGUGCUGCUGGUUUGAAAGGAC
rnacentral:lncRNA from 1 species